rnacentral:rRNA from 1 species
AUUCCUACGGGAGGCAGCAGUGAGGAAUUUUCCGCAAUGGGCGAAAGCCUGACGGAGCAACGCCGCGUGAAGGAUGACGGCCCUCGGGUUGUAAACUUCUUUUCUUUGGGAAUACAUCCGAACGUACCAAGGGAAUAAGCCACGGCUAAUCUCGUGCCAGCAGCCGCGGUAAGACGAGAGUGGCAAGCGUUAUUCGGAAUUAUUGGGCGUAAAGCGUCUGUAGGGGGAUCUUCACGUCAGUUGUAAAAGCCCAGGGCUCAACCCUGUGGACGGCAUCUGAUACGGAUGAUCUAGAAGAAGGUAGAGGCACACGGAAUUCCAGGAGUAGGGGUAAAAUCCGUAGAUACCUGGAGGAACACCGAUAGCGAAGGCAGUGUGCUGGGCCUCUCUUGACCCUGAGAGACGAAAGCGUGGGGAGCAAACGGGAUUAGAUACCCCGGUAGUCCACGCCCUAAACGAUGGAUACUAGAUGUGUGCGGUCUCGACCCCGUACGCGUCGUAGCUUACGCGAUAAGUAUCCCGCCUGGGGAGUACGGCCGCAAGGCUAAAACUCAAAGGAAUUGACGGGGACCCACACAAGCGGUGGAGCAUGUGGUUUAAUUCGACGCAACGCGAAGAACCUUACCCAGGCUUGAACAGCGAGUGACAUCCGGCGAAAGUCGGCUUCCGCAAGGACACUCGUAGAGGUGCUGCAUGGCUGUCGUCAGCUCGUGUCGUGAGAUGUUGGGUUAAGUCCCGCAACGAGCGCAACCCUUGUCCUCUGUUGCCAUCAGGUUAUGCUGGGCACUCUGAGGAGACUGCCGGUGAUAAACCGGAGGAAGGUGGGGAUGACGUCAAGUCAGCAUGGCCUUUAUGUCUGGGGCUACACACGUGCUACAAUGGCAGAUACAAACCGUCGCGAUGCCGCAAGGUGGAGCUAAUCGGAGAAAGUCUGUCUCAGUUCGGAUUGCAGGCUGCAACUCGCCUGCAUGAAGUUGGAAUCGCUAGUAAUCGCGGAUCAGCACGCCGCGGUGAAUACGUUCCCGGGCCUUGUACACACCGCC